rnacentral:miRNA from 12 species
CAAGCUGGCCCCAGUGUCUGGGCUUGUGGGCUGAAAGCUUGUCACUUCUGAAGGAGCUGAACCCUAGAGCCUGGCACUGUGGUAUUG